rnacentral:misc_RNA from 1 species
GAUGAAGAACGUAGCGAAAUGCGAUAAGUAGUGUGAAUUGCAGAAUUCAGUGAAUCAUCGAAUCUUUGAACGCACAUUGCGCCCUUUGUUAUUCCAAAGGGCAUGCCUGUUCGAGCGUCAUUUGUACCCUCAAGCUUUGCUUGGUGUUGGGCGUCUUGUCUCUAGCUUUGCUGGAGACUCGCCUUAAAGUAAUUGGCAGCCGGCCUACUGGUUUCGGAGCGCAGCACAAGUCGCACUCUCUAUCAGCAAAGGUCUAGCAUCCAUUAAGCCUUUUUUUCAACUUUUGACCUCGGAUCAGGUAGGGAUACCCGCUGAACUUAAGCAUAUCAAUAAGCGGAGGA